CCAGGUCAGGCGGGGCCACCCGCUUAGUUUAA
rnacentral:rRNA from 1 species